rnacentral:rRNA from 1 species
ACGACGCUGGCGGCGUGCUUAACACAUGCAAGUCGAGCGAUGAAGCACCUUCGGGUGUGAAUUAGCGGCGAACGGGUGAGGAACACGUGAGAAAUCUGCCUUCAACUCUGGGAUAACUCCGUGAAAACGGGGCUAAUACCGGAUAUGAGCCUUGAUCGCAUGAUCGGGGCUGGAAAGUUUUUCGGUUGAAGAUGACUUCGCGGCCUAUCAGCUUGUUGGUGAGGUAAUGGCUCACCAAGGCGACGACGGGUAGCCGGCCUGAGAGGGCGACCGGCCACACUGGGACUGAGACACGGCCCAGACUCCUACGGGAGGCAGCAGUGGGGAAUAUUGGGCAAUGGAGGAAACUCUGACCCAGCGACGCCGCGUGCGGGAUGAAGGCCUUCGGGUUGUAAACCGCUUUCAGUAGGGAAGAAGCGAAAGUGACGGUACCUACAGAAGAAGCACCGGCUAACUAUGUG